rnacentral:rRNA from 1 species
UGCAGAGGUCCCAAGCGUUGUUCGGAUUCACUGGGCGUAAAGGGUGCGUAGGUGGUGGGGUAAGUCGGAUGUGAAAGCUCGGAGCUCAACUCCGAAAUGGCAUUGGAAACUACCCUGCUAGAGGAUUGGAGGGGGGACUGGAAUACUUGGUGUAGCAGUGAAAUGCGUAGAUAUCAAGUGGAACACCAGUGGCGAAGGCGAGUCCCUGGACAAUACCUGACACUGAGGCACGAAAGCUAGGGGAGCAAACAGG